UGUCCCGCUGGAUGAGGGCAUUAGACGCCUCCUCUAAUCCCAUGUAAUUUCCCACAAUCCCCUUUGCUUGCAUCCUGCCAAGGAGGCCUUUUGCGCCCUGCUGAGCCCCUAUAGCUGCUGGCUUCAGCUUUCCCACACCCCUCCUCAAGGAGUAUUUCCUGCACUGGUGGAGAGGAAACAAGAGAUUGCGUCUUUCCUUAACUCCUCCUCCUUUCAUCUCACUAUUCAUCUGAGCCAAAUCAGCAGUAGAAGAAACCAGACGCACACUGAUGAAUGUGUCUGAUUGACCUUGAGCAAAACAAGGCCAUCGUAUAGACCAUAGAUGACAGGGCACAUACAGCUUUAGUCAUUUGGGAGAAUUACAAAUCCAGAACGGGUUGAGUCAUAUCAAAAAAUAUGUGCACGUAUGUGUGUGUGCCCACGUGAUUAUGUGAGUGUCUAAACCUCAGUGGCAUCAUUAGGCAUAUUCAAGUCAAGUCAAGUCAACAGUAUUUAUAGAGCACUUUCAAACAGCCAUCGCUGCAUACAAAGUGCUGUACAUGGAGCGAUUUAACAUACACAAUAAACAGUAAGACGAAUCGGCAAUAAAGGCGGUAGAAAGCACCAAGCAGUAAAAUCAAGAACAAAUCUAAGUCAUGCUGAGUCGAAUGCCAAAGAAUACAAGUGAGUUUUGAGGAGGGCUUUGAAGAUGGGCAGCGAGGAGGCUUGCCGAAUGUUCAGUGGGAGGUCAUUCCAGAGAGAGGGACCAGCAACAGAAAAGGCUCGAUCCCCUCUGAGCCUCAGUUUAGUUCUUGGUACUUCUAAUAAUAUCUGUAGAGAUAAUAAUAAUAAUACAUUUUAUUUAUAAGCGCCUUUCAAGACACCCAAGGACACUUUACAAUAACAAAAACAAUAAAACACAACACGGGUUGAGCAGCGGCAGCCAAACGCGUCAGUGUUCACUCAACUCGGAAGUCAGAAAGAAAGCACAAGGGAGUGAGAGGGGGAGAAAAAAAACACAAUGUGUUCCUCGAGCCGGUCCUUGGCCUCGAGGACCAGGUCGAGGACCGAGGAGCGGUCCUUGGUCCUCGGCCUUGGCCUCGGAGUCAAGUCUUUUGUCCUUGGCCUUGGCCUCUGAUUGCCGGUCCUCGGACACAAUGAGGGAUUAGAGACUCGAAACACUUGUAUAAGGACCGCGAAAAUCACGAACAAAUCUAAUAAAUUCCAUCCAAGGAAA